UUGGAUAACCGUGGUAAUUCUAGAGCUAAUACAUGCUAAAAACCCCGACUUCGGAAGGGGUGUAUUUAUUAGAUAAAAAACCAAUGCCCUUCGGGGCUCCUUGGUGAUUCAUAAUAACUUAACGAAUCGCAUGGCCUUGUGCCGGCGAUGGUUCAUUCAAAUUUCUGCCCUAUCAACUUUCGAUUGUAGAGUAGUGGUCUACAAUGGUUUCAACGGGUAACGGGGAAUUAGGGUUCUAUUCCGGAGAGGGAGCCUGAGAAACGGCUACCACAUCCAAGGAAGGCAGCAGGCGCGCAAAUUACCCAAUCCCGACCCGGGGAGGUAGUGACAAUAAAUACUGAUACAGGGCUCUUUUGGGUCUUGUAAUUGGAAUGAGUACAAUUUAAAUCCCUUAACGAGGAACAAUUGGAGGGCAAGUCUGGUGCCAGCAGCCGCGGUAAUUUCCAGCUCCAAUAGCGUAUAUUAAAGUUGUUGCAGUUAAAAAGCUCGUAGUUGAACCUUGGGCCUGGUUGGCCGGUCCGCCUCACCGCGUGCACUGGUCCGACCGGGCCUUUCCUUCUGGGGAGCCGCAUGCCCUUCACUGGGUGUGUCGGGGAACCAGGACUUUUACUUUGAAAAAAUUAGAGUGUUCAAAGCAGGCCUAUGCUCGAAUACAUUAGCAUGGAAUAAUAGAAUAGGACGUGUGGUUCUAUUUUGUUGGUUUCUAGGACCGCCGUAAUGAUUAAUAGGGAUAGUCGGGGGCAUCAGUAUUCAAUUGUCAGAGGUGAAAUUCUUGGAUUUAUUGAAGACUAACUACUGCGAAAGCAUUUGCCAAGGAUGUUUUCAUUAAUCAGUGAACGAAAGUUAGGGGAUCGAAGACGAUCAGAUACCGUCGUAGUCUUAACCAUAAACUAUGCCGACUAGGGAUCGG
rnacentral:rRNA from 1 species